CGACUGCGCUGGGCUUGGGCUGCGGGUC
rnacentral:piRNA from 1 species